GCUUGGAUGGUGGAAUGGUAGACACUGGGGACUUAAAAUCCCCUGGUAGCAAUACCGUGCGGGUUCGAGUCCCGCUCCGAGCA
rnacentral:tRNA from 1 species